UCCGUGUGGCCUUUGUGGCUUUUGUGUAUUGUGUUUUUUAAUUUGCUUCUGUUAUACCCAACUGGAGGUAAGAAAGGUGCUGAGCUGUGAGCACUGACAACCAUAACUUGCAGAACAUUGGAUUCCAGUGUUGGGGACAAUUUGAGUUGACUCUGAGCCAUCCUGGGACCCAGGUUGGGUGUCUAACUUCCAUCUGUGGCCUGUUCUUCAUUCCUCAGGGACAUAUCAAGGCCCUCUUGCACCUGGCAAGCAAUGCAACAUUAGAGCUCAGCAGAGAGGAAAAUAGGUAAUCUUUUUCUCUGAACCCAGCUGGCAUUCAACACACUCUUUGAAACAAGAGGACUGAUAGCUCUGUAAUUUUAAUCCAGAUUCCAAAAUGAAAUACAUAUCUGCUCCGGACCCCCAACAUUCUGAAACACAGGUUAUUCUGAUAGUCCUUGGAGAGUGUUCACUGUCUGCAGAAGGAACCAGGCAAUUUUCUUCCAGUGUGUU